rnacentral:rRNA from 1 species
GGGGAAUAUUGGACAAUGGGGGCAACCCUGAUCCAGCAAUGCCGCGUGAGUGAAGAAGGCCUUCGGGUUGUAAAGCUCUUUUGUUAGGGACGAUGAUGACGGUACCUAACGAAUAAGCCCCGGCUAACUUCGUGCCAGCAGCCGCGGUAAUACGAAGGGGGCUAGCGUUGUUCGGAAUGACUGGGCGUAAAGGGCGCGUAGGCGGUUAGAUGAGUUUGGUGUGAAAGCCCUGGGCUUAGCCUAGGAAUUGCAUUGAAUACUGUCUGACUAGAGGCUGAGAGAGGAAAAUGGAAUUGCGUGUGUAGAGGUGAAAUUCGUAGAGAUGCGCAAGAACACCGGUGGCGAAGGCGAUUUUCUGGCUUAGUACUGACGCUAAGGCGCGAAAGCGUGGGGAGCAAAC